CGCUGGCGGCGCGUUUAAGCAUGCAAGUCGAGCGGCAAGGGCCUUCGGGCCCCUAGAGCGGCGGACGGGUGAGUAACACGUGGACAAUCUGCCCCCCGGCCCGGGAUAGCCCAGGGAAACCUGGAUUAAUACCGGAUGAGACGGGACCCGCGAUGGCGGGAUCCGGGAAAGGCGCUGCGGCGCCGCCGGGGGAUGAGUCUGCGUCCCAUUAGCUAGACGGCGGGGUAACGGCCCACCGUGGCGACGAUGGGUAGCCGGCCUGAGAGGGUGGACGGCCACAUUGGAACUGAGACACGGUCCAGACUCCUACGGGAGGCAGCAGCUAAGAAUCUUCCGCAAUGGGCGAAAGCCUGACGGAGCCGACGCCGCGUGAACGAAGAAGGCCGUGAGGUUGUAAAGUUCUUUUCGGGAGGGGGAACAACCGUGGCAGGGAAUGGCCGCGGGAUGACGUGAAUCCCGGAAUAAGCCCCGGCUAACUACGUGCCAGCAGCGGC
rnacentral:rRNA from 1 species